rnacentral:snRNA from 1 species
GUGCUCACUUCAGCAGCACAUAUACAGAAAUUAGAAUGAUACAGGGAAGAUUAGCAUGGACUCCACACAAGGGUGACACAUAAAUUCACGAAGCAUUCCAUGUUUUU